ACAUUCAACCUUCUCAUUCAUAACAUCUUCGUUUUCGUUCUUACUCAUAUGUUAUUUGUAUAAACAGAAAAUCUAGUGGGAAAAUCUGUUUGGAUAUUUUGAGUAUGAAAAUUAAGUUUCACAUUUGUUACAUCAAAAUGCUUCAGAGUAGUCAAUGGAAUUUGGUUUUACAAUCUGCCUGAAUGUGAUGAGGUUGAAUAUCUCUUUAGUAGGUAAAACAUUGUUCUUAUUGCUGCUUCUAUGUACUAAUGGAAAAUUCUGAAAGUAUGAAAUAGUGAAGCUGAACAAAUUUGAAAUAUAUGGCAGAAAGCUUUUCCAUGAAAGAUGUCAAGUUGGGCAUUGUUGAGCCUCUCUUGUCCCAAAAGAAAGUUCAAAUGGUAAGAUUUUUCUUCACACUUUUAAGCUUAACGCCUUGCCCUUCCGACGUCAGAUGUGAGACAACACAACAAAUCUCCCCAUCCCUCAAUCUGGAAUCUCUCCUCCUCACACAUCAGUCCUCCCAUCUUGAAGAAAAAUAUUAGCAGUUGGCCAAAGCUUCUUGCCACCCACAGAGAGCUUCAAAAUUGUUGAUUAUAAACACCUUACUGCAACAUUUACAAUUGAUCCCGUUACUGCUUAUCCACCUUUCCACCAAAGUUCCCACUAUUUCACUCCGGUGCCCUUGCCAUCACCAUUUUCCUUUCAAUCAACUCAGACAUAACUGUUGGGCUGGCUCGAUGGGAGGAGAAGAAACUGUGAUGUGAAGAGCUUCAAAGACGAAUUAGGAUUUGGGGCUCCAACCAAUCUUGAUAAAGGCCUUUUAAUGAGGUUGAUUCAUGUUCCGAUUGAGAUGAAAUUUCAUGUGCAGAUUUGUUCUCAUCUGUUCUUGA